rnacentral:lncRNA from 1 species
CCUUUUUCCUUCAACCACUUUCAUCUUUCCUGAGCUCAGUUUCCAUGCUCUUUCAGAUGUUCUCUCCCAGGUGGAAGUUAAAGGUGGCUGGACAAAAGAGAGAAGGAUGCACCCUCACCUUGGGUCACAGUUUCCUGUUUGAACUAGAAGAUGCUCCUGCUACCCUACAGAGGGAAAAAAUAAGGUGCAGUUAAUAUGGGUACUGAGGAGUACAAAUAAUUACCUGCCUGGCAAAGUGGAUGGAGAAAUACUUCCCAUUCAAGUAUUUUAAGAGUGGAACCAUAGAAAUUCCCUGGACUGUGUCAUGGGACACCUUGAAAUGGCAAGAAAAGUCAAUGUUCCUCUGCUAUGCUCUUUGCUCCCCGACAUCUGAGAGAGAAGGAUUUCCAGUCACCAUGUUGUUCUUCAGUUCAUCCAUCUGCAGCCUGCUCCUUCUGCUUCACAUUGCAGCAGACUUUGCUGGCCAGAGUCAACUUGUCAGAAGCAGGAAUGUUUAUUGUUUUUGGCUGCUAAGGCUGUGGAUAUCUGCAAGGACAGCUUACCUGGUCAUAUGCAGGUAUAAAUCUAACUAA